GUGCUUGCUUGGGAAGCACAUAUACUAAAAUUGGAACAAUACAGAGAAGAUUAGCAUGGUCCCUGCACAAGGAUGACACACAAAUUCAUGAAGUGUUCCAUAUUUUC
rnacentral:snRNA from 1 species